CCCUUAGAUGUUCUGGGCCGCACGCGCGCUACAAUGAUGAAUUCAACGAGUUUAUAACCUUGGUUGAAAAGCCUGGGUAAUCUUUUGAACUUUCGUCGUGAUGGGGCUAGACCCUUGCAAUUAUUGGUCUCCAACGAGGAAUUCCUAGUAAACGCAAGUCAUCAGCUUGCAUUGAUUACGUCCCUGCCCUUUGUACACACCGCCCGUCGCACCUAUCGAUUGAAUGGUCCGGUGAAAUCUUCGGAUUGAGACUUUGUUUUCUUCACGGAAAACGCUGUUUUAAAAAGUUGAUUAAACCUUACCAUUUAGAGGAAGGUGAAGUCGUAACA
rnacentral:rRNA from 1 species